GUGCUGGGCUCAGCAGCACACGUACUACAAUCAGAAUAAUACAGAGAAGGUUCGCAUGGUUCCUGUGCAAGGAUGACACACAAAUUCAUGAAGCGUUCCAUUAAAAA